CGGAGGAACAUGUGGUUAAUUCGAUGGUACGCGAGGAACCUUACCUGGCUUAAAUGUAGAGUGCAUUUUUUAGAGAUAGAAAUUCCCUUCGGGGCUUUCUGCAAGGUGCUGCAUGGUUGUCGUCAGCUCGUGCCGUGAGGUGUCGGGUUAAGUCCCAUAACGAGCGCAACCCUUAUCGUUAGUUGCCAUCUGGUAAUGCAGGGGACUCUAGCGAAACUGCCACCGUAAGGUGAGAGGAAGGUGGGGAUGACGUCAAAUCAGCACGGCCCUUAUGUCCAGGGCUACACACGUGUUACAAUGGUCGGUACAGAGGGCAGCUACCUGGUGACAGGAUGCUAAUCUCGAAAACCGAUCUCAGUUCGGAUCGAAGUCUGCAACUCGACUUCGUGAAGCUGGAUUCGCUAGUAAUCGCGGAUCAGCACGCCGCGGUCGAAUACGUUCCCGGGCCUU
rnacentral:rRNA from 1 species